AGCAGCCGCGGUAAUUCCAGCUCCAAUAGCGUAUAUUAAAGUUGUUGCAGUUAAAAAGCUCGUAGUUGAAUUUCGGGAUCAAUAUAUCGGUCGUGCCUUUGGUACGUACUGGUAUCAUUGAUUUCUCCUUUCUGACGAAUCAUGAUGUCAUUAAUUUGGUGUUAUGAGGAGUUAGGACUGUUACUUUGAAAAAAUUUAGAGUAGUUUAAAGCAGGCAUUAGCUUGAAUACAUUAGCAUGGAAUAAUGAAAUAGGACGUUUGACCCUAUUUUGUUGGUUUUUAGGAUCGACGUAAUGAUUAAUAGGGAUAGUUGGGGGCAUUAGUAUUCAAUUGUCAGAGGCGAAAUUCUUGGAUUUAUUGAAGACUAACUACUGCGAAAGCAUUUGCCAAGGAUGUUUUCAUUAAUCAAGAACGAAAGUUAGGGGAUCGAAGACGAUCAGAUACCGUCGUAGUCUUAACCGUAAACUAUGCCGACUAGGGAUCGGAUGAUGUUAAUUUUAUAAUGACUCAUUCGGCGCCU
rnacentral:rRNA from 1 species